GCGUCGGUAGUGCACUUGGUUAAGCACUCGUCCCUGAAAGGGUGGGAAUGUGGGCUCGAAUCCCGCCUGACGUCA